AGGGAUUUUAAAAGGGUGAUUUAC
rnacentral:siRNA from 1 species